UUUAAUGGGAGCGUUGCUUAAUUUCGACUUGUGCCAAACACUGCGCACCUCCUGUGACUAACAAUUUUCAAGACAUAUUCAUUUUUGAUUUGG